ensembl:lncRNA
GCAGGCAACAUUUUAAUCACAUUCAUCAAAACAGGGAUAUAGGUAGGAAUAUUGCCCUUUGCUCACUUAAUGAUAAUGUUCAAUAUCUGAUUUCUUCAUGCUUUUUAGACUCAGUUUUCUAAUACCGAAUGUCAUUUUCUCAUGCUUUAUACUCUCUCACAAAAGAGACGUGUCAAAUAUUCAAAGGAUGGCAUGCCAGGAUAGAGGGGGUACAGAAUCUUGAAAAGUCUAUAAACAAUCUAAUAUAAACAGUAUCAAGUUACACCUGUAUACUUAUGGCUAUUAAUUUUGCAUUUGUAGUAGUAUUUAACAGUCAAAUGACAGGAUAAAAGACAACAUGGUAUGCCGUGGCUAGGAUCAGGGUAUCAAAUAUUGAAUCAGCAAGAAUCCUCAGAAGACUUUAUGAUAUCCAGAUACAUUUAUUAGAUUUAAUUUAAUCUUUUAUUAUGGUUACCUUUAGACUCAGAAAAUGGUGAAUAUUAAUCUUCUGAAAGUAUAAACAAAAUUUAUCUCUGUGGACAUUAUCUGAUGACUCAUCUCUUGGACUAUGUAGAAAUUCGGUUACUAUCAAAUAAAUUUUAUUUUUGUUACAACUACAGCUAAUGUAGUCACCAUGCUGGCAAUGUAUACCAUUUAACCUUAGGACUAAUAUUAAUUUCAUUAAACUAAAAAUAUAGACUGCAGUCAUUUAGUAUACUACCUAGGUAUGCAAGCAUAAAACUGAAUCAAGAUUUCUGUGCACUCAAAAGGACCCCAGAUGAGACUGUUCAACUUUCAGGGUUAGCAGCCAGUUGAAUUGGAAGGGGCCUUCCGUACAGAGACAACAUUUCAGAAUGCUUGCAGACUCAGUCUGACCUUCUUGAAGUAUUUCUUGUUUUCUAUUUGGAUGAAAAUGGCUAAUAGAUUAAUUCAUUCAGGUCAACAGGAACUAUUCAGCCUUUUAUCUGAACACAACCUCAUUCUUUCACUGAAAAACUAGCACAUGAGAGUGAGAACAUCACCCAAGUCCCUACCUUGGGACCCAAGAAGGCCAAAGAGGAGUUACACACCCCCAGGGAUCAUAAACCUGAACUGACAGCUAACAAAAUUGACUUUUCAAACAUCUGAUGCAAUGUCUCACAGAGGUUCCCAGGCAGUUACUGCCUCCUAGAGUUGUUUCACGUAUGUGAAAACUCAGCUACGAAUGCAUUGAUUCUCUGAAAAUUAGAGAGUUAAGUAUUUCUUAACAAAGCCAGAGAUUCCAAUCCAAAAGAUGGCAUCUGGGAACAAAUGGUGGUAGGGUGUACCACAUGUGCCUUCUCAUGCAAUCUCUGAGCAGCUGGAAAAUGAAGUGUUCUCAAGGAGUACUGGAUGAUUCCUGGAAAGCUGGGAUAAAUCAUACUGAAGGUGAUUCAGAGCUGUCCGAAGUUGGAAAUUGAUGCUUCAUUGCACUGAAUUGUGAAUACUCUAAUAGCAGACCAGAGUCCUAAUUUAAAUACUCAAGCUCUCGUAUCCUGUAUUUACAUUUGGUAUGUACGUAAAUUCUCUUGAACAAAAAUACCAAGCCCAGGCUACACAGAUUGUGAUAAAAGUCAUAUGUUCCCCCCUGUCAGUUUUUUCAGUUUUGUAAACUGUAAUCUUCCAAAAAUUCUGGAUGGUAAAAUGUUGUCAGUUAUGACAAUAAUAAAAUUAAAAACUAAUUUUCAGAAAAAGUGGAUCUUCUGAAAUUUCUACAUCUUCAUUAGAAAUAUGGCAUAACUUGCCACCUUUAAAAGACAGACAUGUUUACCAAAACGUGCUGUCAGAUUCUUUUUGAUUGUUUCUUCCCUAAUAUGUAACAAUUCACAGAAUUAAUCUUUCUCCUGUAUUUUAUUUUCAGUAAUCAAAGAAAGGAAGCCAUCACUCAGAGCUGUACUGUAAAGCAGAAUGUUACCUAAUGCUGCAAAACACAAUGCAUGAUCUUUGUUUUAUUUAACUGAUUCUAAUCUCAGCUACAUUGCAAAUCCCUCCUUGUCAGAGAGAAUAUAAAAUCUGGUCAGUUCUGGAGUUCUUGCAAACCUGAACAUUGACCUUGCACAUCCUUUCUUUCCCUUUUUGAAGCCUCAUGAACUUAAUUUGAGUGUGUUUCAAGGAUCAGUCUGAAGCAGUGUUUUUGAACUCAGCUGGGUCAUAGGAACUUUCUCAGCACUCUAUUCUAAUUUGCAGGUUUGCUAUAAUAAAAGCCCCAAAUAUAUUGCUACUGUCUAGACAUUUUAUCUGAAACAAGUGUCCUUUGUAGUCUCAGAGGACUUUUCUAUUUUAUUUCCAGUAAAUCAAAGUCUGUGAAGAGCUUUGGUUCUUAUUAAGAUGUACCCUUCACAGUCCAGCGGUUGCCAACGGAGGCAAGUCAUUGACAGUUCAUUUACAUAUAAGUGAUGACUUCCAUCAGGUAGUUGGCUCAAAAAUACAAUGGACAUUUAGAGCAUAUCCAAUAUUUCUUGUUCUUUGAUGAGCAUCAAGUGCCAAUAUAUAUAUAGAAACUGACUAUUGGAAAGCGAAGGCUUCUUUUCAUUGACCUUACAUUGUCUUUUGCAGACAUAUUGCAACAAGUUCAUUCUCCUAAAAAGAAAUGUAAAGCACGUCAAUACUAAGAAACAGCAAAACAACUAUGAGUUACAAAAACACCCUCCCAUAUGUGUUGAUAGUAUGAGUUACUGUGCUGCUAAGCAAUCAGUAAUGCAAGAUGUGAAGUCCCAGGGGACAUGAACCCCAUAGUGCCACAGGGCAAUGCGGAGGUAUGGGGCUGCUGCUCUCUCAAGCAGCUGAAUGAACAGUUGCACUGUCAGACUAAAAGCCCCAUAGUGCAGGAAGGUAGUACAUUCAAGCAUAACCUGGAUGUCACCCUAGUACCAAAUGCUGAUAUAAUCACAGCAGAUACGAAUAUAGAUUGACACAGCAGAAAGAGGUGACUGGGCUGCUGUGGGAUGCAGCAGCAAAAGGGAGUUUAGUCAUUGGUACAACCUUAUGUUUGGGUGAUAUGGUCUACUGAAAGAAUGCAGGAACCAUUGGUGACCCUCAUCCAUAUGCUUAGCAGUGGUUAGAGAUCUUGAAUGUGCAUCCUCUGCUCGGAGAGGAUACACAUUACCACUCAGGUAAUACCAGUUACUUUAAUUUUUGUGUUCACUAUUGGAAGGUUACCCACAAAGUCAAGAACAAAGCACAAGAAUUUUUAGAAAAUAAUAGAAAUAUAAUACAAAUAAUAGAAAAAUGUAUUUAAUAUUAGAAAAUAAAAGUAGAAAUAAUAGAAAAGC